rnacentral:rRNA from 1 species
CAUUCAAAGAGUGCGUAAUAGCUCACUAGUCGAGUGACCCUGCGCCGAAAAUGUACCGGGGCUAAAACAAUUUACCGAAGCUGUGGAUACCUUUAUAGGUAUGGUAGGAGAGCGUUCUAUGUGUGAAGAAGGUGUACCGUGAGGAGUGCUGGAACGCAUAGAAGUGAGAAUGCCGGUAUGAGUAGCGAAAGACAGGUGAGAAUCCUGUCCACCGUAAGACUAAGGUUUCCAGGGGAAGGCUCGUCCGCCCUGGGUUAGUCGGGACCUAAGGAGAGACCGAAAGGUGUAUCCGAUGGACAACAGGUUGAUAUUCCUGUACUAGAGUAUGUAGUGAUGGAGGGACGCAGUAGGCUAACUAAAGCAGACGAUUGGAAGAGUCUGUCUAAGCAGUGAGGUGUGAUAUGAGUCAAAUGCUUAUAUCUAUAACAUUGAGCUGUGAUGGGGAGCGAAGUUUAGUAGCGAAGUUAGUGACGUCACACUGCCAAGAAAAGCUUCUAGCGUUUAAACAUACUCUACCCGUACCGCAAACCGACACAGGUAGUCGAGGCGAGUAGCCUCAGGUGAGCGAGAGAACUCUCGUUAAGGAACUCGGCAAAAUGACCCCGUAACUUCGGGAGAAGGGGUGCUGGCUUAAAGUCAGCCGCAGUGAAUAGGCCCAAGCAACUGUUUAUCAAAAACACAGCUCUCUGCUAAAUCGUAAGAUGAUGUAUAGGGGGUGACGCCUGCCCGGUGCUGGAAGGUUAAGAGGAGUGCUUAGCGUAAGCGAAGGUAUGAAUUGAAGCCCCAGUAAACGGCGGCCGUAACUAUAACGGUCCUAAGGUAGCGAAAUUCCUUGUCGGGUAAGUUCCGACCCGCACGAAAGGCGUAAUGAUUUGGGCACUGUCUCAACGAGAGACUCGGUGAAAUUUUAGUACCUGUGAAGAUGCAGGUUACCCGCGACAGGACGGAAAGACCCCAUGGAGCUUUACUGCAGUUUGAUAUUGAGUGUCUGUACCACAUGUACAGGAUAGGUAGGAGUCUAUGAGAUCGGGACGCCAGUUUCGAAGGAGACGUUGUUGGGAUACUACCCUUGUGUUAUGGCCACUCUAACCCGGAUAGGUGAUCCCUAUCGGAGACAGUGUCUGACGGGCAGUUUGACUGGGGCGGUCGCCUCCUAAAAGGUAACGGAGGCGCCCAAAGGUUCCCUCAGAAUGGUUGGAAAUCAUUCGCAGAGUGUAAAGGUAUAAGGGAGCUUGACUGCGAGAGCUACAACUCGAGCAGGGACGAAAGUCGGGCUUAGUGAUCCGGUGGUUCCG